rfam:Desulfitobacterium hafniense Y51 DNA, complete genome.
GUUUCAAUUCCUCAUAGGUAAGUUAACAAC